GAUGAACGCUGGCGGCGUGCCUAAUACAUGCAAGUCAAGCGAACGGACGAGAAGCUUGCUUCUCUGAUGUUAGCGGCGGACGGGUGAGUAACACGUGGAUAACCUACCUAUAAGACUGGGAUAACUUCGGGAAACCGGAGCUAAUACCGGAUGAUAUUUUGAACCGCAUGGUUCAAAAGUGAAAGACGGUCUUGCUGUCACUUAUAGAUGGAUCCGCGCUGCAUUAGCUAGUUGGUAAGGUAACGGCUUACCAAGGCAACGAUGCAUAGCCGACCUGAGAGGGUGAUCGGCCACACUGGAACUGAGACACGGUCCAGACUCCUACGGGAGGCAGCAGUAGGGAAUCUUCCGCAAUGGGCGAAAGCCUGACGGAGCAACGCCGCGUGAGUGAUGAAGGUCUUCGGAUCGUAAAACUCUGUUAUUAGUGAAGAACAUAUGUGGAAGUAACUGUGCACAGCUUGACGGUACCUAAUCAGAAAGCCACGGCUAACUACGUG
rnacentral:rRNA from 1 species